rnacentral:rRNA from 1 species
UUGACCUCGAAUCAGGUAGGAAUACCCGCUGAACUUAAGCAUAUCAAUAAGCGGAGGAAAAGAAACCAACAGGGAUCGAAUCAGUAACGGCGAGUGAAGCGGCAACAGCUCAAAUUUGAAAUCUGGCUCUCGGGCCCGAGUUGUAAUUUGUAGAGGAUGCUUUUGGUGAGGUGCCUUCCGAGUUCCCUGGAACGGGACGCCAUAGAGGGUGAGAGCCCCGUCUGGUUGGACACCGAUCCUCUGUAAAGCUCCUUCGACGAGUCGAGUAGUUUGGGAAUGCUGCUCUAAAUGGGAGGUAUAUGUCUUCUAAAGCUAAAUACCGGCCAGAGACCGAUAGCGCACAAGUAGAGUGAUCGAAAGAUGAAAAGAACUUUGAAAAGAGAGUUAAACAGUACGUGAAAUUGUUGAAAGGGAAGCGCUUGUGACCAGACUUGGGCUUGGUUGAUCAUCCGGGGUUCUCCCCGGUGCACUCUUCCGGCUCAGGCCAGCAUCAGUUCGCCCUGGGGGAUAAAGGCUUCGGGAAUGUGGCUCUCUCCGGGGAGUGUUA